AGAGUUUGAUCAUGGCUCAGAUUGAACGCUGGCGGAAUGCUUUACACAUGCAAGUCGAACGGCAGCAUAGGUGCUUGCACCUGAUGGCGAGUGGCGAACGGGUGAGUAAUACAUCGGAACGUGCCCAGUCGUGGGGGAUAACGUAGCGAAAGUUACGCUAAUACCGCAUACGAUCUACGGAUGAAAGCGGGGGACCGUAAGGCCUCGCGCGAUUGGAGCGGCCGAUGUUAGAUUAGGUAGUUGGUGGGGUAAAGGCUCACCAAGCCGACGAUCUAUAGCUGGUCUGAGAGGAUGAUCAGCCACACUGGGACUGAGACACGGCCCAGACUCCUACGGGAGGCAGCAGUGGGGAAUUUUGGACAAUGGGCGCAAGCCUGAUCCAGCCAUUCCGCGUGCAGGACGAAGGCCUUCGGGUUGUAAACUGCUUUUGUACAGAACGAAAAGCUCUGGGUUAAUACCCUGGGGUCAUGACGGUACUGUAAGAAUAAGCACCGGCUAACUACGUACCAGCAGCCGCGGUAAU
rnacentral:rRNA from 1 species